CCUACGGGAGGCAGCAGUGGGGAAUAUUGGACAAUGGGCGGAAGCCUGAUCCAGCCAUGCCGCGUGUGUGAAGAAGGCCUUUUGGUUGUAAAGCACUUUAAGCGAGGAGGAGGCUACUAGUACUAAUACUACUGGAUAGUGGACGUUACUCGCAGAAUAAGCACCGGCUAACUCUGUGCCAGCAGCCGCGGUAAUACAGAGGGUGCGAGCGUUAAUCGGAUUUACUGGGCGUAAAGCGUGCGUAGGCGGCUUUUUAAGUCGGAUGUGAAAUCCCCGAGCUUAACUUGGGAAUUGCAUUCGAUACUGGGAAGCUAGAGUAUGGGAGAGGAUGGUAGAAUUCCAGGUGUAGCGGUGAAAUGCGUAGAGAUCUGGAGGAAUACCGAUGGCGAAGGCAGCCAUCUGGCCUAGUACUGACGCUGAGGUACGAAAGCAUGGGGAGCAAACAGGAUUAGAUACCCUGGUAGUCCAUGCCGUAAACGAUGUCUACUAGCCGUUGGGGCCUUUGAGGCUUUAGUGGCGCAGCUAACGCGAUAAGUAAGACCGCCGUUGGGGAGUCGGUUCGCAAGACUUAAAACUUCAAAGGGAUUGGACGG
rnacentral:rRNA from 1 species